rnacentral:rRNA from 1 species
UGGGGAAUUUUCCGCAAUGGGCGAAAGCCUGACGGAGCAAUACCGCGUGAGGGAUGACGGCCUAUGGGUUGUAAACCUCUUUUUUCAGGGAGGAAUAAAUGACGUGUACCUGAAGAAUAAGCAUCGGCUAACUCCGUGCCAGCAGCCGCGGUAAGACGGAGGAUGCAAGUGUUAUCCGGAAUCACUGGGCGUAAAGCGUCUGUAGGUGGUUUAAUAAGUCAACUGUUAAAUCUUGAGGCUCAACCUCGAAACCGCAGUCGAAACUAUUAGACUAGAGUAUAGUAGGGGUAAAGGGAAUUUCCAGUGGAGCGGUGAAAUGCGUAGAGAUUGGAAAGAACACCGAUGGCGAAGGCACUUUACUGGGCUAUUACUAACACUGAGAGACGAAGGCUAGGGUAGCAAAUGGGAUUAGAUACCCCAGUAGUCCUAGCUGUAAACUAUGGAUACUAGAUGUUGAACAGAUCGACCUGUGCAGUAUCAAAGCUAACGCAUUAAGUAUCCCGCCUGGGAAGUAUGCUCGCAAGAGUG